CUUGUGACAUCAUAGAAGUAGGAAACGGUGACCGCCUGCUUGCUCGCAGGCAUCCAGUUCUUCUUGGUGUUGGGGUCAAUCUGGAAGACAUGCGCUCGGGUGGUGAAGAUGGGCUGUUCUCUGCAAUAAGAGAGUGGGCGUAUAAUAGAAUUGCACAUAGAGAACACCCAAGAAAAUCAACUGAAAAACAAACAUUGCCUGAUAUAGUCUGAUCAUCUUGAAGAAGCCUG
rnacentral:lncRNA from 1 species